ACCAGCAGGACAUUUCACCUCGAGAGAUAGAUCGCAGAUGGAGAAAGAAAUUCCCGUUUUGUGAGAAAAAGGUGAACAGAAGAGAGGAAAAUACCAAAAGUUGUAGUGAGGAGCACGCACUGGUCAGCAUACUUUUUCAAUAAACUUGUCCAAAUGAUUUCAUAGUGCAAAGAAGGAUCCACUCGCUUUUCCACUGCGGGGGGAAGAUGAUGAAAUGAAGAUGACAGAAAGGUGACAGGAAUAACCCAAAGCCCACGCUUGACUUUCACAGUCCAACGUUAUGAUUCACCUAACAAAACCGCUACACACACACACACACACACACACACACAAAUCUGUGUCCGGCACCGACGGGACCGGGGGGAUGAGAGAAGGCGUGGACUCGUAAGGGAGGGUUCUAUUCCCUGGGUAACGGGCCUUGGCCGAGGAACUGAGAGGUGUUUUGGCUUGUGUUGCGUUCGGGGAGAGUGCAGCUUCUCCCAGAAGGAGGCUAUAAAAAGACAAAGGAGACAGGAGGCCAUGUGGAGAGACUGUUGAAAGGGAGCAAAAAACACCCACUCCAAAAAAAAAAGGAGACACAUUUCAAACAAACAAUACAAAAUGACUUCCAUGCAAACACCAAAUUCCUGUGUUCGGCGUCUCUGUCUUGAGGGAUUUAACCCGUUUUUUUUCUUCGACAGGACUUGUUUGCAUGUCGGCCACACCUCACAGCAUCCGGAAGAGGGACAAGUCAUCACUUCAGGUCAAAUGUAACGAUUACGAGGGCAUCGUGAUGCGGGUCAUUCUCUCAAUGAUGCAGUCGGGCUCCAACACAGCGUGAAGGGUCAAAUCUAACGAUUACGAGGGCAUCGUGAUGCGGGGCAUUCUCUCAAUGAUGCAGUCGGGCUCCAACACAGCGUUAAGACCGCGCCCACUCACAGCCCCAGUCGGAGGCAAUCUGCAAUCAACGCAUCUGGGUUUAAUAACGGACGACAGGAUAAAGAGCCUCGUCGCUGACCUCCCUUCGACGGAACGUAGCUCUGUUCGCAGAAAACUUUGCGUCUCCGACUUCCCUCCUGAUCUCGCUCGUUUGCUUGUUUCCUCGUGCCUUUUUCAUGAUCCCAUUUUUGUGUCUUGUUUUCCCCCACAGUCACUCGUGUCUCAGCUUCCACUGUUGCCUUUCCCCCCUGGACCUUGUUUGCCCUCCCCGAUCCUUGACCCCUGCUUUGGAGUUCCGGACUUCUCCUUCCUGCCUACGACCCCGCUCGGACCUCGGACGUCUUGGCUUCUUCCCCUCGGAUUCGGACGCUGUACAUCCACUUAAACAAACCUCACGGUAUUUACAUACAGUUAAUUUCCACACAUAGUUUUCUAUUCAAACACAUGGUAGCAUACACACCCCAUACAAUCAUCAAGCACUCAAUAAAUCUGUUGAGCUUGAUCCAUUGUUGUCGUGCCGUCUCCUUCCCCAGUCCUUACAUAACAGAUUUUUGUUUGUGUGCCAUGUUGUUCCAGACCACAGCAAACAUUACCUAGCUUGCAAAGAUUAUAAUGAAUCCAUUAGAAGAAGACAGGCUGCAGUUUCCUUCAACUUGGACACACACAUUCUGGCCAUUCUAAACCAGUAAUUUCCAGAAGUUAUCUCACACUCUGAUAAACCUAUGUUUUAUUAAUGUUUUCCAAUGUAAAAAAAUAUAUUCACAUUUCAAAAUUUCUGUAACGAAUAUUUGCGUCAGCAUGAGACACAAAUCAAUUUUGAUAGUAGGCUACUAUUGUUGUGUUUUUACUGUUUUCCUGCCUUCUCUUUGGUCUGCAGCUGUGCUUUUAGUGAUUCGUCCUCGGCGAGGGGCGGACCUUGAGGCCCACCUGUUUGCAAUUAGCACACCGGUAUUUAGGCUCAUCACUGUCAGCUUGGCUUCGCCGGUUAUUUUCUCCGGUACUC